rnacentral:rRNA from 1 species
GCGUACCUUUUGUAUAAUGGGUCAGCGACUUAUAUUCUGUAGCAAGGUUAACCGUAUAGGGGAGCCGGAGGGAAACCGAGUCUUAAUUGGGCGUUAAGUUGCAGGGUAUAGACCCGAAACCCGGUGAUCUAGCCAUGGGCAGGUUGAAGGUUGGGUAACACUAACUGGAGGACCGAACCGACUAAUGUUGAAAAAUUAGCGGAUGACCUGUGGCUGGGGGUGAAAGGCCAAUCAAACCGGGAGAUAGCUGGUUCUCCCCGAAAGCUAUUUAGGUAGCGCCUCGUGAAUUCAUCUCCGGGGGUAGAGCACUGUUUCGGCUAGGGGGCCAUCCCGGCUUACCAACCCGAUGCAAACUGCGAAUACCGGAGAAUGUUAUCACGGGAGACACACGGCGGGUGCUAACGUCCGUCGUGAAGAGGGAAACAACCCAGACCGCCAGCUAAGGUCCCAAAGUCAUGGUUAAGUGGGAAACGAUGUGGGAAGGCCCAGACAGCCAGGAUGUUGGCUUAGAAGCAGCCAUCAUUUAAAGAAAGCGUAAUAGCUCACUGGUCGAGUCGGCCUGCGCGGAAGAUGUAACGGGGCUAAACCAUGCACCGAAGCUGCGGCAGCGAACGUAUCACCCAAGACAACUUUACGGAGUUGACGAUUGACGGAGCGAAGCGACGUCAAAGCGUUCAUUAAAGUCGAGUUGGCUUAGGGAUACGUUCGUUGGGUAGGGGAGCGUUCUGUAAGCCUGUGAAGGUGUGUCGUGAGGCAUGCUGGAGGUAUCAGAAGUGCGAAUGCUGACAUAAGUAACGAUAAAGCGGGUGAAAAGCCCGCUCGCCGGAAGACCAAGGGUUCCUGUCCAACGUUAAUCGGGGCAGGGUGAGUCGACCCCUAAGGCGAGGCCGAAAGGCGUAGUCGAUGGGAAACGGGUUAAUAUUCCCGUACUUGGUGUUACUGCGAAGGGGGGACGGAGAAGGCUAUGUUGGCCGGGCGACGGUUGUCCCGGUUUAAGCGUGUAGGUGUGUGUUCCAGGUAAAUCCGGUUCACUUUAACACUGAGGCGUGACGACGAGGCACUACGGUGCUGAAGCAACAAAUGCCCUGCUUCCAGGAAAAGCCUCUAAGCAUCAGGUAACAC